AUACGUAGGGGGCGAGCGUUGUCCGGAAUGAUUGGGCGUAAAGGGCGUGUAGGCGGAGAUGCAAGUCAGGAGUGAAAUCUAGGGGCUCAACCCCUAAACUGCUUUUGAAACUGUAUCCCUUGAGUAUCGGCGAGGCAGGCGGAAUUCCUAGUGUAGCGGUGAAAUGCGUAGAGAUUAGGAGGAACACCAGUGGCGUAGGCGGCCUGCUGGACGACAACUGACGCUGAGGCGCUAAAGCGUGGCGAGCAAACAGGAUUAGAUAACCUGGUAGUCCACGCUGUAGACGAUGAAUACUAGGUGUGGGGGGACUGACCCCCUCCGUGCCGCAGUUAACACAAUAAGUAUUCCACCUGGGGAGUUCGAUCGCAAGAUUGAAACUCAAAGGAAUUGACGGGG
rnacentral:rRNA from 1 species